UUUCAAAUCAUAUGAACUGGGUGUCUCAGGAUAAUGUGGAUAAAGAUCCCUUAGAGAUAUUACUCUUAACGAAAAAGAGGCACAAUUGUGGCAAGUAGGCCAUAUUGAGUUUAGUUUGGAAACUAGUUGUUUUUUAAAUUCGGAAACUCGAACUCGAGUGAGAGAUAUUUCACAAAAUGAUUCUUAUUUAGGAUAUCACCCUUUUUUGGACGGGUCUUGGAAAGAUAGUGAUAAAUUCUCAGGAAUAUGGUGGUUCAAUACGUCAUCAGAUGGAGUUACACCAACCAUGAGAGCUGCCAACACCCUUACACGCAUAUCUCCACUACAUUCGGAAGUGGAAGCUCUUCUCUAGGCGAUGAAGUGUAUGAUUGGUGUUAACAACUAAAAAGUAAUGUUUUUUCGAAACUAUUCAAAUCUAGUGAAUAUGGUGUGUUUUCUAACCGAAUGGCCGACACUUUCAUUGUAUUUGGAAGAACUUCAGAAUGAUAAGGAAGAAUUUUCAAUUUUUUUGUUAUCUUUAAUGUUUCGUUGUGCUAAUAUAAAAACGGAUGAUUUCACUCAAAAAAUUCGUACCGAACUGCAUUAGAUCCCAAAUGUAAAUAAUUCCUCAGUAGAAAACCAAUAUGUCUCAAUUUUUAUCCUUUUUACAAUAUUUGAGA
rnacentral:sRNA from 1 species